ensembl:snoRNA SNORD33 Small nucleolar RNA Z195/SNORD33/SNORD32 family
GUUGUCGGUGAUGUUUUAUCACAUUAAUUCGAGUUUAACUGACCAUGAGAAAACCUUACAUGCACUACCAUCUGAGACGUC